rnacentral:rRNA from 1 species
AUCCUUGGGGCUAUUACCUCGAGGGGAGGACAUCACCCACAGAGGAAGCACCGCUAACUCCGUGCCAGCAGCCGCGGUAAUACGGAGGGUGCGAGCGUUAAUCGGAAUUACUGGGGGUAAAGCGCGCGUAGGCGGCCUGAUAAGCCGGUUGUGAAAAGCCCCGGGCUCAACCUGGGAACGGCAUCCGGAACUGUCAGGCUAGAGUGCAGGAGAGGAAGGUAGAAUUCCCGGUGUAGCGGUGAAAUGCGUAGAGAUCGGGAGGAAUACCAGUGGCGAAGGCGGCCUUCUGGACUGACACUGACGCUGAGGUGCGAAAGCGUGGGUAGCAAACAGGAUUAGAUACCCUGGUAGUCCACGCCGUAAACGAUGUCGACUAGCCGUUGGGGUCUUUGAGACCUUUGUGGCGCAGUUAACGCGAUAAGUCGACCGCCUGGGGAGUACGGCCGCAAGGUUAAAACUCAAAUGAAUUGACGGGGGCCCGCACAAGCGGUGGAGCAUGUGGUUUAAUUCGAUGCAACGCGAAGAACCUUACCUACCCUUGACAUCGAGAGAACUUGGCAGAGAUGCCUUGGUGCCUUCGGGAACUCUCAGACAGGUGCUGCAUGGCCGUCGUCAGCUCGUGUUGUGAAAUGUUGGGUUAAGUCCCGUAACGAGCGCAACCCUUGUCCCUAUUUGCCAGCGAUUCGGUCGGGAACUCUAGGGAGACUGCCGGUGACAAACCGGAGGAAGGUGGGGACGACGUCAGGUCAUCAUGGCCCUUACGGGUAGGGCUACACACGUGCUACAAUGGCCGGUUCUAAGGGUUGCGAAGCCGCGAGGUGGAGCCAAUCCCGAAAAGCCGGUCUCAGUCCGGAUCGGAGUCUCUCUGAGUUCCCGGCGCGU